AUCUAUGACCAUACCAUCCUGAAGGUGCUAAAUCUUGGAAGCUAAGCAGGGUCAGGUCUGGUUGGUACUUGGACAGGAGACCAUCUGGGAAUACCAGGGUGCUGUAGGCU
rnacentral:rRNA from 1 species